UACCCAGGCGGCCGUUGGCCUUGGUUCUAGAGCCCAUGAUGCCCUCAUGGCCUCGGCUCUGUCUGUCCAUGCCGCUGCCCUUAGCAUUCGGGCUUCUGUCCCCCGUCACCGAUGUCCCAGCCUUGCGUCUGCAUUGAAGGCAAGAAGCCGAGGGCGGAGGCACCUACCUCCCAGGAGACUCUCAGGAGCAAACUCCCCCAGAAACUCCAGGAGACCUCAGUUCCACAUCUCCCGCGUCAGGUCACGUCGGACGUGCUUAUGUGGGUUCGUUCUGGGCUUUUGUGUUGAGCCCGUCACGUGGCACAUCUUCAGGCCCAGUCUGUCAGCUGUUCUCUCCCCGCUCCGGGACUGAUGCUGGCGAAAGGUACAAUUUUGACAUCAGAAUAAGCAACAAGCGGAUGCAUCAAAUAUUUAAUUACAGGACCAGAUGAAGAAAGCAGAUGAUGGAAAUGUGGUCUUGUCACUCCCCUCACCCCCAGGUCUGAGGGAUCAGCAAGGUCCUGUG